UUGUUAUUAUUAUUAUUAUUAUUAUUAUUAUUAUUAUUAUUAUUAUUAUUAUUAUUAUUAUUUAUACUGUGCAGAGUAUCAUCUCGGGUAGCUAAAGGCAAAAAUAACAAAACCGAGGACACAAUUAUUGAAGCCUCCAAAAAGUAUCAUCUCAGGCAGUUCAAGGAAAAAAUAGCAAAACUAAGGACACAAUUAUUGUAGCCUCCAAAAGUAUGUUGCUAUUUAUACUAUUUAUAUCAUAUUCUUAUUCUAAGUUUGUUGAUGAUUGAUGCAAGCUUUUGUUAUAUGUCUGUAUUCUCUAACUUGAUUAUUGAAUGACACUUAUCCUUUUGCAAAGAAUGAGAAACCAGAUUGCAUGUGCAAACAAAGGCUUUAAAUUGUAGUUGCAGUUAAGGCUUGGUUUUGGUUCAUAGUCACAGCCUAAUGAUGCAACGGCUGUGUUCCAUCAAACUUGCUCUUUUUUUCAUUUAACACUUAAUAGAGUUUUGGGGAGGAGUCAAGAGGGAAAGACAAUUUGGUGGCGUGCGAUGUGUGUUGUUAUUUGGUGCCUAACUUCCUAUGGUUGGGGAUUAAUUUCCAAUAUCAAACUCUUUAAUAUCAAUGUUAAUCUUUUUCCUUUUUUUA